ACUAUUUUGGCAGAUUAGUGCAAUAAAUUUAGAAUUUAUAUAUGUAAUUGAUAAUUACAAGUAGUA
rnacentral:tRNA from 1 species